CCCUCUUUUGUCUGGGCAACUCCAUUUUCUUCUCAUUUUUGUUACCAAUAAACGGUUCUGAGAUACAGUGUUUGCCUCAUUUGGCUUAAUUCUGUUCCCAACCAUCUACUUUUAAAAGAACUCCUACUGUUCCCCACAUUGGUACAUGACAACAGCAGAACUGGGAACAAGCUCUGAGAUCCUGGUCCUCAAGGACAAGAAGCAUCCCAACAUUGUCAGCUGUUUGGACCUGUGAGUGCUUCAGCUGCCUUGUUGCUGAAGAUCUCUGGUUGGUGAUGGAGUACGUGGAUGGAAGAACAUCACAGGAUGCUGUUAGACAGACACGUCUGGCUGAAGGAGGGAUGGCAGCCAUCAGCUGUGAGUAUCUGCAAGCCCUGGAUUUUCUUCAUUCAAACCAGGUGAUUCACAGAGAUCUGAAAAGCUCCAGCAUCCUUCUGGGAAUGGACAGCACUGUCAAGUGGUCUGACCACUAUCAAGGGCAGGUAUCCUUGGUUAGGCACAGUGUUCCUGGGAUGUGAGUGUGAGGCUGCUUCCCAGUGACAGCCAGUUCCCCAGAACUGGUGCUGGGAGUGCCCAGACCCUGCUGCCAGCUGAGAGCAGCUGCAGUGUGCAGAGAGGUCUGCAGAGGAGCAGGAUGUCAAGAGGGGCUUUGCUUUGUCUAUGUCCCUUCCAGAGGGAAGUGUGAUAGAAUCUAAAGCUUCAAGUGAAUAAAUAAAAGCCACUGCCUAAAACCUGAGAGUAUCUUUAAGUGGCCAGUUGCAUAUUGCCUCUGUCUUGUAAUGUGCAGUCUGGAUGCUUUUCAAAUGGAGAGCAAGCAGAAUCCUAGACUGGUUUGGUUUGGCAGGGGCCUUUUGAGGUGAUCUGGACCGGGUGCCCCACAAUGAACAGGGCCAUGUUCAAGCAGAUCAAGUUGCUCACAAGCCUGCCUGACCUGACCUUGAAUGAUUGCAGGGGUGAGGCACCUUACACAUGUCUGGGCAACUUGUGUCAAUGUAAGCCCACUCUCCUUGUAAAAAAAAUUUUUCCUCAUGUCUUAUCUGAAUCUGCUGGCCCUCCCUUGAGUUUAAAAUCACUCUCCCUUGUCCUGUUGCAACAGAGCCUGUAAGGAGCUUGAAAAGUAAUGCUUCAUUUCUUUAGUUUUUAUGCUUAGGGCAGCAUCCAUUUUUAUCAUCAGCCAAGCCUGUCUCCAGCCUGACACCUCUGAUCACUGCAGCAGUGCAGUUCAGGGAGUGGCAGAGAUGCAGCACUAGAAGACAGCUUUUUGUUAUGCUAGGUAGGAUAAUUAGUUUGAUAUGGUAGUUAGGACAGCUAGUUUUUUAUGCUAGCUAAGAAAGCUAAUUAUAGUAGUUAGGACAGCUAGUGUUUAUGCCAGCUAGGACAACUAGUUUGUUAAGAUAGCUAAGACAGCUUGUUAUGGUAGGACAGCUAGAUUUUUAUGCUAACUAGGACAACUAGAUUGUUAUGCUAGUUAGCACAGCCAGUUUGUUAUGCUAGCUAGGACAAUUAGUUUUUUACACUUGUUUUUUGAAUAAAAACUCU